CAGCAGCCGCGGUAAUACGUAGGGCGCAAGCGUUAUCCGGAAUUAUUGGGCGUAAAGAGCUCGUAGGCGGUUUGUCGCGUCUGCCGUGAAAGUCCGGGGCUCAACCCCGGAUCUGCGGUGGGUACGGGCUGACUAGAGUGAUGUAGGGGAGACUGGAAUUCCUGGUGUAGCGGUGAAAUGCGCAGAUAUCAGGAGGAACACCGAUGGCGAAGACAGGUCUCUGGGCAUUAACUGACGCUGAGGAGCGAAAGCAUGGGGAGCGAACAGGAUUAGAUACCCCCGUAGUCCCUGUCUCUUAUAC
rnacentral:rRNA from 1 species